GACGAACGCUGGCGGCGUGCUUAACACAUGCAAGUCGAACGGAAAGGCCCUGCCUUUGUGGGUUGCUCGAGUGGCGAACGGGUGAGUAAUACGUAAGUAACCUGCCCUUGACUUUGGGAUAAAUUCCGGAAACUGGGGCUAAUACCGGAUAGGAGCUCCUGCUGCCUGGUUGGGGUUGGUAAGUUUCGGCGGUGCGGGAUGGUCUCGCGGCUGCUCAGCAUGUUGGUGGGGUAGUGGCUUACCACGGCUUUGACGGGUAGCCGGCCUCAGAGGGUGACCGGCCACAUGGGGACUGAGAUACGGCCCGGACUCGUAGGGAAGUCAGCAGUGGGGAAUAAUGCACGAUGGGCGAAAGCCGGAUGCAGCAACGCCGCGUGCGGGUUGACGGCCUUCGGGUUAUAAACCGCUUGCGCCAUUGACAAAGCGUGAGUGACGGUAAUUGGUAAAGAAGCACCGGCUAACUACGUG
rnacentral:rRNA from 1 species